GACGAACGCUGGCGGCGUGCUUAACACAUGCAAGUCGAACGGAAAGGCCCUGCUUUUGUGGGGUGCUCGAGUGGCGACGGGUGAGUAACACGUGAGUAACCUGCCCUUGACUUUGGGAUAACUUCAGGAAACUGGGGCUAAUACCGGAUAGGAGCUCCUGCUGCAUGGUGGGGGUUGGAAAGUUUCGGCGGUUGGGGAUGGACUCGCGGCUUAUCAGCUUGUUGGUGGGGUAGUGGCUUACCAAGGCUUUGACGGGUAGCCGGCCUGAGAGGGUGACCGGCCACAUUGGGACUGAGAUACGGCCCAGACUCCUACGGGAGGCAGCAGUGGGGAAUAUUGCACAAUGGGCGGAAGCCUGAUGCAGCAACGCCGCGUGCGGGAUGACGGCCUUCGGGUUGUAAACCGCUUUCGCCUGUGACGAAGCGUGAGUGACGGUAAUGGGUAAAGAAGCACCGGCUAACUACGUG
rnacentral:rRNA from 1 species